AUUGAACGCUGGCGGCAGGCCUAACACAUGCAAGUCGAGCGGCAGCGGGAAAGUAGCUUGCUACUUUUGCCGGCGAGCGGCGGACGGGUGAGUAAUGCCUGGGGAUCUGCCCAGUCGAGGGGGAUAACAGUUGGAAACGACUGCUAAUACCGCAUACGCCCUACGGGGGAAAGGAGGGGACCUUCGGACCUUUCGCGAUUGGAUGAACCCAGGUGGGAUUAGCUAGUUGGUGGGGUAAUGGCUCACCAAGGCGACGAUCCCUAGCUGGUCUGAGAGGAUGAUCAGCCACACUGGAACUGAGACACGGUCCAGACUCCUACGGGAGGCAGCAGUGGGGAAUAUUGCACAAUGGGGGAAACCCUGAUGCAGCCAUGCCGCGUGUGUGAAGAAGGCCUUCGGGUUGUAAAGCACUUUCAGCGAGGAGGAAAGGUUGUUGGCUAAUACCCAGCAACUGUGACGUUACUCGCAGAAGAAGCACCGGCUAACUCCGUGCCAGCAGCCGCCGCCG
rnacentral:rRNA from 1 species